CUCUGGUAAAGUGAGCUUCAUCAAAUUGCAGGGUUUCCUUCCUUCCCAAUGUCCGGUUACUUCGUCUCUGAGGAGCCCGACACUCGUGCACAGUUCCUCUCAGUCCCUGUUAUACUUUCAUGUGAAGGGUAGAGAUGGAUCUCAUGCCUCCGCAGUGACCCAAGCCACAGCAGAACUCUGAAUCCUUAACCCACUGAGCCACAGGGGACCUCCAGUACAAAGUUUAAAAUGACUAACAUCAUGGAAAUUGGUUUUAAGUCGAUGUGCUGUGAAACUUACAGGUAAUAUAAGAACUUGAAUAAUGAUUCAGUUUUGCUGAAUAAAUUUGCAGUUUUCAUGUUCCUAAAACAUUUCAUUAGAGUAAUGUUAGGGUUUUUUAAAUAAUUAAACUAGUAGAAGUUUAGGAAGUUCAAAUCAAUUAUUCUCUCAGUAAGGAAACGAACUUGAUUAAAACACACAAUUGUAUUAUAUUUUACAGUGAAAAAAUACUUAGUUGAGGUUUUUUGUUUUGUUUUUUAGCCAAACAUUAAAAGAAUAUCAUUUGCCUAAGAUCUGGUUUAGUUAUUUGAAAAUGGAUUUCUUCUAUACUAGAAAUUUCUGUAAGAAGGAUUUUUUUUUUAAUCUUGCACAUUUAAAAGUUUAUUUUUUGAAUUUUAGGACUAGAUUUAUGUGAGUGUGUAGUCAUCUUGAUAAGUGUUGGGAAGGAAGAAAUUUUUCUUUCCUUCUAGGUUCUUCUGGCUGGCCUAAGAAUUAAAUUAACGUGAAUAGAGAAAAUUAAACAAAAAACUUAACAUGUACAUGGGAGAGACUCAGGAAAAUCAAUGUCCCCAAAUGUUUGAAGGAAAAUCAAUGUCCCCAAAUGUUUGAAGCCUUCACACUAAAUACAUUCUCAGAGUUCCUGCUGUGGCUCAGCAGGUUUAGAACCUGACAUAGUGUCAGUGAGGAUUCAGGUUCAAUCCCUGGCCUCACUUAGUGGGUUAAAGAUCCAGUGUUGCUGCAAGCUGUGGUAUAGGUCAUGCAGAGGUUGCAGGUGCAGCUUGGAUCGGGUGUGGCCGUGGCUGUGGCCUGCAGCUGCAGCUCUGAUUCAACCCCUAGCCCAGGAACUUCCAUAUGCCACUGGUGCAGCUGUAACAAGAAAAUAAAUAAUAAAUACCAUUCUGAGCUAGAGACAAAAGAGGAUAUUGGGGUUGGUAGUCUGUUCUGGGAGGUCACCAGGAAGAGCACAGUGAACAAGGGUAAGAUCGUUAAGCAGAUUUAAAUCAAUGCUUUCUCUGUUGAUAACUGUCAUUAAUUACAAAAGGGUAGGUAAUUCCGGAGUUCCCGUCACUGAGCAGCGGAAACAAAUCCAACUAGGAACCAUGAGGUUUCAGGUUCAAUCCCUGGCCUCCCUCAGUGGGUUAAGGAUCCAGCGUUG
rnacentral:lncRNA from 1 species